rnacentral:misc_RNA from 1 species
UCCCAAGCACCUCGACGAGAAGGUGGCCGCCCUCCACUUGGGCAAGCUUGGUGCCAGGCUGACCAAGCUCUCCAAGUCGCAGGCUGACUACAUCAGCGUUCCAGUUGAGGGUCCCUACAAGCCCGCGCACUACCGGUACUAGGCUGCCCAGCACGACUAGCGGCUGUGGCAUGAGAAGUGUCAACUUGAAGUUCGCCAUGACGACUCUGGAGUAUCCUGCUUUGUUUUCAUCAUCUUAUAUGCCGUCACUUAGGAGGAUUUGUUGUGGGGUUUAUGGUUUGAGACUGGUGAAGGGGAGGAAUGGGAAGCCGUUUGCUUUUGCCCAGAAAUAAUGGCGUAAUUGGGUGGAGUUGGGGAGGUGUGCUUUGGCAGAUACAGUUUUGUCUUGUUGACUCUACUUAUCUGAUAUCAUUUGCAAGCG